rnacentral:rRNA from 1 species
GCAAGUCGAGCGAGACCUUCGGGUCUAGCGGCGGACGGGUUAGUAACGCGUGGGAACGUACCCUUCUGUAAGGAAUAGCCACUGGAAACGGUGAGUAAUACCUUAUACGCCCUUCGGGGGAAAGAUUUAUCGCAGAAGGAUCGGCCCGCGUUAGAUUAGAUAGUUGGUGGGGUAAUGGCCUACCAAGUCUACGAUCUUUAGCUGGUUUUAGAGGAUGAUCAGCCACACUGGGACUGAGACGCGGCCCAGACUCCUACGGGAGGCAGCAGUGGGGAAUCUUAGACAAUGGGCGCAAGCCUGAUCCAGCCAUGCCGCGUGAGUGANGAAGGCCUUAGGGUCGUAAAGCUCUUUCGCCUGUGA